AGAGUUUGAUGGUGGCUCAGGAUGAACGCUAGCGGCAGGCCUAAUACAUGCAAGUCGAGGGGUAACAUGACGCUUCGGUGUUGAUGACGACCGGCGCACGGGUGCGUAACGCGUAUGCAAUCUACCUACAGCAGAGGGAUAGCCCGUGGAAACAUGGAUUAAUACCUCAUAAUACAGGGGGCCCGCAUGGGCAUAUUGUUAAAGAUUUAUCGGCUGUAGAUGGGCAUGCGUCCCAUUAGCUAGUUGGUACGGUAACGGCGUACCAAGGCGAUGAUGGGUAGGGGUUCUGAGAGGAUGAUCCCCCACACUGGUACUGAGAUACGGACCAGACUCCUACGGGAGGCAGCAGUAGGGAAUAUUGGUCAAUGGACGGAAGUCUGAACCAGCCAUGCCGCGUGCAGGAAGACGGCCUUCUGGGUUGUAAACUGCUUUUAUCAGGGAAGAAUAAGCUACUUGCGAGUAGUGAUGCCGGUACCUGAAGAAUAAGCACCGGCUAACUCCGUGCCAGCAGCCGCGGUAAUACGGAGGGUGCGAGCGUUGUCCGGAUUUAUUGGGUUUAAAGGGUGCGUA
rnacentral:rRNA from 1 species